rnacentral:misc_RNA from 1 species
UCCGGUUUAUCACCGGCAGUCUUCUUAAAGUUCCCAGCAUUACCUGAUGGCAAUUAAGAACAAGGGUUGCGCUCGUUACGGGACUUAACCCAACAUCUCACAACACGAGCUGACGACAGCCAUGCAGCACCUGUCUCCUAGUUCCUUGCGGCACAUCGACAUUUCUGUCAACUUCUAGGGAUUCAAAGGUAGGUAAGGUUUUUCGCGUUGCAUCGAAUUAAACCACAUGCUCCACCGCUUGUGCGGGCCCCCGUCAAUUCCUUUGAGUUUUAAUCUUGCGACCGUACUCCUCAGGCGGAGAACUUAGCGCGUUAGCUUCGCUACUAAAGCCUAGAUAGACUCCAACAGCAAGUUCUCAUCGUUUACAGCAUGGACUAC